AGCAUGAGCCCGCUGCCUGUGCUUACUGUCCUGUGGUGUUCUGCCUCUCUGUCAACAGCAUUUAAAAUAAGCUGCACUGGUUGAAGUCAUGUCCCGUCUGCCUUUGGUUUCCACAUUUUAAUUUAACCCUGAGGAAUGCUGAUUAUAAACGUACAGAAUAUUAAUUUCGACUGAAUUACCUGUGUAAUAUAGAUACAAUUGAAACAUAAUUUGCAUUUUUUUUGUCAACUCUACCUGUGUUGAUCUUUGUCUGUGAAAAAUAUCUUAAUACUGGUAACUGAUCACUCCUACAAUUGAUUUAGAGUGACCAUUCAUAAUUGUUAUGUUUUUAGACUGUAGGAGGAAGCUGGAGUACCAUGAGAAAACCUAUGCAUGCUUAAGGAGGGCAUGUAAAUGACCAACAAUAUGUUUCCAGCUUUGCACCUCUGUGCAGCCUCAUAAAGUAUUAGUUUAGUUUAGCUUAUUUUGUCUGAUUUUAGUUCAGUUUUGCCUUAGCUUUGCUUAUUUAAGUUUAUUUAGGUUUAGUUUUUGCUUUA